UACGAAGGGGGCUAGCGUUGCUCGGAAUCACUGGGCGUAAAGGGUGCGUAGGCGGUUUUUUAAGUCAGAGGUGAAAUCCUGGAGCUCAACUCCAGAACUGCCUUUGAUACUGAGAAUCUUGAGUAUGGGAGAGGUGAGUGGAACUGCGAGUGUAGAGGUGAAAUUCGUAGAUAUUCGCAAGAACACCAGUGGCGAAGGCGGCUCACUGGCCCGGUACUGACGCUGAGGUGCGAAAGCGUGGGGAGCAAACAGG
rnacentral:rRNA from 1 species